rnacentral:sRNA from 1 species
GCAGAAUCCAGGGGACGGUUGCUGAGCGGGCCUGGGACAGCGGGUCGCUGCACCUCCCGCCUGCGCGUGUCUAAUCCGUCUGUCGGGUCCCGAAAGAGCUAAGCCGAGCCUGCGCCGGACGGGUGGGCUGGACUGAGAGAAUUCUCUGAGCUGGUGACAGGUGCCACAGGCACUGGGGAUCUCACCAGAAAGGAACCAACGGAGCUAGGGGCCAGCGAGAUGGCGGACGAGGCCUUAGCUGGGCUGGAUGAGGGAGCCCUUCGGAAGCUGCUGGAGGUCACAGCAGAUCUGGCAGAGCGGCGGCGCAUCCGCUCAGCCAUCCGGGAACUGCAGCGGCAGGAGCUGGAGCGCGAGGAGGAGGCCCUGGCAUCCAAGCGUUUCCGUGCCGAGCGGCAGGACAACAAGGAGAACUGGCUGCACCCACAUCCUCCACGACCUGGCCAUGGCAGUGGUGGUUACAGUCAUGAUGUCUCUGCAGCUCUCAGCAGCGGGAAGCUGAGCAGCGGGCUGCCCUGGCACGGCUGGCAGGGCAGCUGGAGUCCAUGAACGAUGUGGAGGAAUUGACUGCACUGUUGCGAAGCGCUGGUGAGUAUGAGGA